AGUGAACGCUGGCGGUAGGCCUAACACAUGCAAGUCGAACGGCAGCACAGUAAGAGCUUGCUCUUACGGGUGGCGAGUGGCGGACGGGUGAGGAAUACAUCGGACUCUACUUUUUCGUGGGGGAUAACGUAGGGAAACUUACGCUAAUACCGCAUACGACCUACGGGUGAAAGCAGGGGAUCUUCGGACCUUGCGCGAUUGAAUGAGCCGAUGUCGGAUUAGCUAGUUGGCGGGGUAAAGGCCCACCAAGGCGACGAUCCGUAGCUGGUCUGAGAGGAUGAUCAGCCACACUGGAACUGAGACACGGUCCAGACUCCUACGGGAGGCAGCAGUGGGGAAUAGUGGACAAUGGGCGCAAGCCUGAUCCAGCCAUACCGCGUGGGUGAAGAAGGCCUUCGGGUUGUAAAGCCCUUUUGUUGGGAAAGAAAAGCAGCAGGUUAAUACCCCGCUGUUCUGACGGUACCCAAAGAAUAAGCACCGGCUAACUUCGUG
rnacentral:rRNA from 1 species